CUCUUCCUCCUCCUCCUCCUCCUCCCCAGCUCCUGCUCCAGACAAUCUGUUAAAUCUCUCCUGCGGAGAGAUAAGGACUGAUGCAGCUGAAAUUCCCUGCUGUGGAAGAAGUUACUGUGAUGGCUGUGUGAGAACAGCAUUGCUGGAAUCAGAGGAACACACCUCCCCAGCGUGCCAUCAGACAGGUGUUUCUGCUGGUUCUUUAAAUGCCAACCAGCUCCCAGGCCAGGCUGUGAAUGACCUCCAAAGUGGCAAAUCCACCCGGGAACUAAAGCUCCGUUCACGGCCAAGGUUUCCAGGUGUGAGGGAUGAGCCCGUGAAAGCAGAUUCUGUGCUUUUCAAACCAAAAGCAAGAACUCGUAAGAGAAAGAGGAAAGCAAAAGUGACUGCAGGAAGGCAAUUCAACCAAACCAGCUCGAGCUUCCCGAGACAAAGCGGGCACCGACCAUGAAAAACGUCCUUGAAUGGAACCUCCCGUGAAGGAGGCAAAGGAGGAGAAGCCAACCUUGUGUUCUCAAUUCAUCUCCAUAUUAUGCCUUGUAAAGCAUUUCUGAACAAUAAACAAU